GAGGAAACGUGUGACAAAAUACCCGUAGAGAACAGCUCUUAAUUUUCUGCAGGUUCUUUUUGAGAAACUGGCGAUAGAGACCUACUUGCUGAAUGUCUCUCCCGGGGGGCUGACCUACAUUGCCGAGUGGCGAGGGGGGAUUCUGGACCACAAGAUGGGGCACCUGGCCUGUUUCUCCGGGGGCAUGAUCGCCCUUGGCGCCGAGGAUGCCAAGGAAGAAAAGAGGGCCCACUACCGAGAGCUCGCAGCCCAGAUCACCAAGACGUGUCACGAGUCAUACGCCCGCUCAGACACCAAACUCGGGCCUGAGGCCUUCUGGUUUAACUCCGGCAGAGAGGCCGUGGCCACCCAGCUGAGCGAGAGCUACUACAUCCUCCGGCCAGAGGUGGUGGAGAGCUACAUGUACCUGUGGCGACAGACCCACAACCCCAUCUACAGGGAGUGGGGCUGGGAGGUGGUGCUGGCCUUGGAGAAAUACUGUCGGACAGAAGCCGGUUUCUCCGGGAUCCAAGACGUGUACAGUAGCAACCCCAACCAUGACAACAAGCAGCAGAGCUUCUUUCUAGCGGAGACACUAAAGUAUCUCUAUCUUCUGUUCUCUGAAGAUGACUUGCUCUCCCUGGAAGACUGGGUGUUCAACACUGAGGCCCACCCGCUCCCGGUGAACCACUCAGACAGCUCCAGCAGGGCCUGGGGCAGAUACUGACCCCAUCUCCCGCCGCCGCCCUGGGGCCGCCGCAGGGAUGCCUUGCCUUUUCAGGAUUUGGGACUGUUCUCAAAGGGAUUGGGAACGAAGGCCCCAUCUCGGGCAGACCCCCAGCAGAUGUGUCGGACAAGCAACUUCUUUUCCUCUGUGAGGAGACAAGACUUGGAGACGCAGCGAUGUCAGGCCA
rnacentral:sRNA from 1 species